rnacentral:rRNA from 1 species
CAGUAGCCGCGGGAAUACGUAGGUCCCGAGCGUUGUCCGGAUUUAUUGGGCGUAAGGCGAGCGCAGGCGGUUAGAUAAGUCUGAAGUUAAAGGCUGUGGCUUAACCAUAGUACGCUUUGGAAACUGUUUAACUUGAGUGCAAGAGGGGAGAGUGGAAUUCCAUGUGUAGCGGUGAAAUGCGUAGAUAUAUGGAGGAACACCGGUGGCGAAAGCGGCUCUCUGGUCUGUAACUGACGCUGAGGAGCGAAAGCGUGGGGAGCGAACAGGAUUAGAUACCCCAGUAGUCCCUGUCUCUUAUACA